rnacentral:rRNA from 1 species
GUAGUUGACUCCGUGCUCGAGGACGACGCUGGCGGCGUGCUUAACACAUGCAAGUCGAACGAUGAAGCCCAGCUUGCUGGGUGGAUUAGUGGCGAACGGGUGAGUAACACGUGAGUAACCUGCCCUUGACUCUGGGAUAAGCGUUGGAAACGACGUCUAAUACCGGAUACGAGCUUCCACCGCAUGGUGAGUUGCUGGAAAGAAGUUUUGGUCAAGGAUGGACUCGCGGCCUAUCAGCUUGUUGGUGAGGUAAUGGCUCACCAAGGCGACGACGGGUAGCCGGCCUGAGAGGGUGACCGGCCACACUGGGACUGAGACACGGCCCAGACUCCUACGGGAGGCAGCAGUGGGGAAUAUUGCACAAUGGGCGAAAGCCUGAUGCAGCAACGCCGCGUGAGGGACGACGGCCUUCGGGUUGUAAACCUCUUUUUAGCAGGGAAGAAGCGAAAGUGACGGUACCUGCAGAAAAAGCACCGGCUAACUACGUG